rnacentral:rRNA from 1 species
UACGUAGGGGGCAAGCGUUGUCCGGAAUUAUUGGGCGUAAAGCGCGUGUAGGCGGUCCGAUAAGUCGGUUGUGAAAGUCCAGGCUCAACUCUGGAAUGCCGGCCGAUACUGUCGGACUAGAGUCCGGAAGAGGCAAGUGGAAUUCCCGGUGUAGCGGUGAAAUGCGCAGAUAUCGGGAGGAACACCAACGGCGAAGGCAGCUUGCUGGGACGGUACUGACGCUGAGAUGCGAAAGCUAGGGGAGCAAACAGG